CUGACUUCGGGGGACGAUAACGGCGUCGAGCGGCGGACGGGUGAGUAAUGCCUAGGAAAUUGCCCUGAUGUGGGGGAUAACCAUUGGAAACGAUGGCUAAUACCGCAUAAUGCCUACGGGCCAAAGAGGGGGACCUUCGGGCCUCUCGCGUCAGGAUAUGCCUAGGUGGGAUUAGCUAGUUGGUGAGGUAAUGGCUCACCAAGGCGACGAUCCCUAGCUGGUCUGAGAGGAUGAUCAGCCACACUGGAACUGAGACACGGUCCAGACUCCUACGGGAGGCAGCAGUGGGGAAUAUUGCACAAUGGGCGCAAGCCUGAUGCAGCCAUGCCGCGUGUGUGAAGAAGGCCUUCGGGUUGUAAAGCACUUUCAGUCGUGAGGAAGGUGGUGGUGUUAAUAGCACUAUCAUUUGACGUUAGCGACAGAAGAAGCACCGGCUAACUCCGUGCCAGCAGCCGCGGUAAUACGGAGGGUGCGAGCGUUAAUCGGAAUUACUGGGCGUAAAGCGCAUGCAGGUGGUUUGUUAAGUCAGAUGUGAAAGCCCGGGGCUCAACCUCGG
rnacentral:rRNA from 1 species